ensembl:lncRNA
GUGCUUUUAAAGCUUCUUUUACAGCCUCCUACAAAUCUGCUUGAGCUCUGCUGUCACAGCUCACCCAAGAGAUGACUCCUUUAGAGUAAAAGUUCAAUGUCUGCCAGCAGACCAAAUCUCGUGAGAACUGAUUAGCUGAAUUUUCCAAACAAACAAGGUGAGGAGAGGGAGGAAGAACUUGACCUUGUUCUUGAGAUGGGAACCGCUCAACAGCACGUGUAAAAUGCCCCCAGAGGGAAGCACAAGAUUUUCACCAGUUCAGCUCAAGUUCUGCUGCCUAAUCAUUUUCUUAUCACCAGAGAUUACAUAUUUACACAGGUGCCUCUCUGGUUUAAUUGUUUGGAAGCAGUCACUGGGAGCAGAGCAGUGUGACUCAGCUUUGGUGAAGCAGUCCAGCUGCGGUCUGACAGCCUAAAUUGAGGGCACAGCUCUGCCCCUGGCAGAGCUCCCACUGUGGCCUCGAAUGUGGGGACCUAGAGAAGUGGAGAGAACACCCCAGUGCCACUGUCCAGAGGAAAGGCCAGCCUCUGCCGGAAACCGCGCUGACUAACUGAGGCCCUCGGAGACACAGUGCCAUGUGCUGACUCAGGAAAAGCUAGGGCAACCUGCUGGAAACAUUUGCAGGCCUGGAAAAUGAAUGGUUUAAUAAUUCAAGAUGCUUUUAAGUUUAAAAAAACAUAAAAACAAAUAAACCUCCCUUUUCCAAAGUGAUGUUGUAUGGUGAGAGUCUUUCGAAAAGGAAGAAACAGAGCUCAUGCUAAGAAGCAAACCCAGCUUUAUGAAACUCUUCAACAAUUGACAAAUAACCUUAACACCCUACACCCCGCUGGAUAAAUGGAAAUGUAUUUUUCAUGAGUUUGAAAUACUUUGAUGAAAAGUGAGAUAUUUAUUCGGCAUUCCAUAUAUUAUUUUCAUCUGUGUGUCGC